rnacentral:lncRNA from 1 species
UCAUCACGUUAAAACGACGAAUCAAAGAAUACUUUAUAUACAACUAAUAUAGUACACAGGUGUAGAUUAAAAAUUACACCACUCCAGGCCCUUUUGUUUUCCACGUAAUUAAUAUUGCCAAUAAUUAAGAAGUUCCGGGUCGAGUCCGAUACCGAUACCAAUAGUAUAAUCACCUGUUACCUAUUACCUUAUCUGUACGUUCCGCAUCUGACAGGCGCACCACCAAACGGUGUAUUCAGGAUUAAUAUGCUAUUUACACGGGUCAUAAUCACAGGGUUGACACUACUAAAUUGUCAAAUUGUUACCUAUUGUAGUAUUUUAAUCCGUAAGACUUUCUAAGAUAACAAUACGAAUACUAAAAAUCUGGACUAAAAAUAAGUUUCAAUUUGUUAGCGGGCAUGACGUUAAACAGCGAAUCAUAAGAAUUCAACUUUAUUUAUAACUAAUAUAGGACAAUGCUGUUGAUUAAAAAAUACUCCAUUCCAG